AAAAAGAGGAUUCACAGUUCCAUGACAAGAAGCAAAAGAAAACAGGAAAAUUUAUAGAAUUCUGUAGAAACGUAUUCUAUAAAUUCUGUUGUUGUCACUGUAAUACAGCAGAGAUUUCCGAUUCGCAGAAUUGUCAAUCGGAAGAUUCUCAAUUCGGAGUUGAUUCUUCAAAAAUUAAUAAAGACAUUAUUAAUGACUAUGAAUUUCAAGAAAUUGGAAAGGGGACUUUUGGAACAGUUUAUUUGGCUCGCUGCGGAAACUCUGACCAAAACGUGGCUUUGAAAGUCGUCGAGAGAAAGCGCUUUUCUCUUGCACAGAGGCGCGAAUUGAAUAAAGAACGAAAAGCGUGGGCAACCGUAUCGAGCCAUCCCCACAUCGUCUCUUUAAUAUGUUUCUUCAAAACAAAUACCAG